ACGUAGGAGGCGAGCGUUAUCCGGAUUUACUGGGCUUAAAGGGUGUGCAGGCGGGUCGUUAAGUCGUGCAUGAAAGCCGUGCGCUCAACGCGCGGAGGCUGUGCGAGACUGGCGACCUAGAGGGUGUGAGAGGGACGCGGAAUUCCGGGUGUAGUGGUGAAAUGCGUAGAUAUCCGGAAGAACACCAGAGGCGAAGGCGGCGUCCUGGCGCACUCCUGACGCUAAGACACGACAGCAUGGGGAGCGAACGGGAUUAGAAACCCCGGUAGUCCAUGCCGUAAACGAUGGAUGCGAGGCGUGGGGCGGAGAAGUCCGUUCCGUGUCGGAGGGAAACCGGUAAGCAUCCCGCCUGGGGAGUACGGUCGCAAGGCUA
rnacentral:rRNA from 1 species